rnacentral:rRNA from 1 species
GAUCCUGGCUCAGGAUGAACGCUAGCGGCAGGCUUAACACAUGCAAGUCGAGGGGCAUCGGGAGUAGCAAUACUUGCCGGCGACCGGCGCAAGGGUGCGUAACGCGUGAGCAACAUGCCCGUAUCAGGGGGAUAAUCCAUGGAAACGUGGUCUAAUACCCCAUAGUAAUUAUGUAAGGCAUCUUAUAUAAUUUAAAGCUUUGGUGGAUACGGAUUGGCUCGCGUGACAUUAGCUGGAUGGUAAGGUAACGGCUUACCAUGGCUACGAUGUCUAGGGGUUCUGAGAGGAAGGUCCCCCACACUGGAACUGAGACACGGUCCAGACUCCUACGGGAGGCAGCAGUGAGGAAUAUUGGACAAUGGAUGGAAAUCUGAUCCAGCCAUGCCGCGUGCCAGGAAGACGGCCCUAUGGGUUGUAAACUGCUUUUGUAUGGGAGCAAUAAGGGCUACGUGUAGUCCGAUGAGAGUACCAUACGAAUAAGCACCGGCUAACUCCGUGCCAGCCGCUGC